UUUCCGUAGGUGAACCUGCGGAAGGAUCAUUACCACAAUUAAUCAUCUUUUCUGUGAACCAUCAAUAUAAAAAAUAUUAUCGUUUUCUCGAUAAUGCAUAAUUUUUAUCAAACAUUAUGAUAAAUAAAAACAUAUCAAUCAUUCAAUAACUUUUAGCGAUGGAUGUCUAGGUUCUC
rnacentral:misc_RNA from 1 species